AUGCUGGGCGGCGGCGUGUCCUUCUCCUUCAGCGACGUGCUGACCAUCUGCGGGCUGCUGGCGGUGCAGUGCAUCUUCGGUCUCUACAUGAUGUUCCUCAACCGGCUACUCGUAGCCGGCGUCCCGUCGCUCUUCAUCAUCGUCGUCGCAUGCGCCGCCUCCUCCGUCGUCGUUCUCCCCUUCGCCAUCGCCCUCGAGAGGAAGAAAUGGCCCAAGCGCUGGAGCCCCAUGUUGGUAAUCCAGCUCGUUAUGAUCUCCCUUGGAGGGGUAUCCAUAUACCAAGUCUUGAUGAUGCUCGGCGUCGAGCGGACCUCACCAGCGAUCGCCUCGGCCAUGCCCAAUCCUGGUCCUGGCUUCAUCUUCGUCAUCGCCGCCUGCCUGAGGUUUGAGAGAUUUGAGUGGAGGUGCAAGUACACCAGAGCAAAGAUCUUGGGUACGUUGGUAUGCAUCAGUGGAGCAAUGUGCGUGAGCUUCCUAAAGAAUCCCCAUCCCGGCACAGUGCCAGAGUCCGUUCCCAGGGAUCAAGAGUUGUCUGGCAUGAAAAUUGACAGAGAUUGGGUCCUUGGCUGUGUGUACCUGCUCACUGGAGUCACGGUCUUGGCUUGCAACACUGUCCUGCAGGCUGCAACCCUCAAGAGGUUCCCGGCGCCGCUGUCCAUCUGUGUGAUCACCGCCAUGAUGGGAUCGAUCUUCAGCGCCAUCAUCCAGGUCAUCAUGGACGGCAAGCUCGGCGCGGGCACUGCAGGCAACAUCCCCAGAAUAAUCGGUGAAAUUGUGCUCGUGGGAGGUCUGGUGAUCGGGCUGUGCACGACGUUCCAGGUGUCGAGCAUCGGCCGCAAGGGGCCUGUCCUGGUGUCCAUGUUCAGCCCGUUCCAGACUGUGUUCUCGGCCUUCAUCUCCUUCAUCUUCUUUGGGCAAUGGAUCGGCACAGGGUGCCUGGUGGGGAUUGUGCUCAUGUUUGCGGGCCUCUAUGUGGUGCUAUGGGCCAAGAACCGGGAGGACAAGAUGUUCGCCGAGCUUGCGCUGCCGUCUGACUCUGACGCAACUGAAUCUGAUAUCGAGAGGCCAUUCUUGCAGUGA
rnacentral:rRNA from 1 species